ACCCCGAAGCACCACACCUCCCGCCAUGCACUGCAUCGCCCCCCUGCUCCUCCUCCCACUCCCGACCGCCUCCCGUCAUGCGCUAUCGCCAAAACCCAGACGCCACCUCUUCCUCCCCUUCUCCCCUCCCGCGCCUGUAAGUUCCACCUCGCCUCGGCGCGCUCGCCGUCCCGCGCUGCCGCUUCGGUUUUCGGCGACGACGAGGAUGAGGAGGUUGACGUGGAUGACGACGAGGACGACGAGACAACCAUCCGCCACUGGUGCCCUUCCAUCCAUGGCGUCGCCGCGGCCACCCCGCAAUCAACUCCUAGAUCCCGUGCUCCUCGCGAGUUCUGGCUCGCGCCCGCAAUCCGUGCCUCCGCCGCUGCAGCCUUUCCAUCGCACAGCGCCCUUCCAUCCAUGGCUCGCUUCCAGAAAUCACCAUCUCCGGCGUAGCGUCGCAUUCCAAAAUCCACCAUCCUCUGCCGCGAUGGAAGGGAAUCAAUCCGUCGAUGGAAGGAACGCGUGCUUCCCCCUUCCAUCCUCGGCGCUGCGCAAAUUGCGGUGUGGGCGAUGUGGAUCGCCAAAAUCCACUCCUCACUAGCGGCCCCUUCCAUCCUAGGCGCUCUUCCAUAUGUGAAUCAGCCGAGAGCACAAGUCAAGAGCACCAUCUGCUCCCCUUCCACAAGUCGAGAGCACAGGCAAGGCUGCCCCAGUUUCAUCCUCCUCUCGUUUAGUUGAAUCAGCGGGACCUGGAGCAAACGAUCUGGACAGCCCGCAAGUUCGUGUGCUACGUAUGUCUGUGAGUUUGUUGCCGCUGUGGCGUCUCCCUUCCCCUCCCUGAUUCCUCUACCCUGUAGAUCUGGACUACCACCUCAACGACGCACUUGUCACGCUCCUUCGGGCCAAGCCUCGCGAGUUCUGGCUCCGGGGUAGGCGGAACAUUCUCUUGUGCAUUGCUUGCUGAUCGAACCUGCUAAUGCUUGCUGAUGCUUAUCCGCUCAGAAGAAUGUGAGUCGUAGCAUUCCAGCCAAAUUUUGCUUAUCCACUCAGAAGGUUAUAUUAUUUGCUCACACCGCAAUACUUGUCGGGCUCCUGCUUGCUGAUGCUUAUUUGCUUCUCUCUAACUGGAUUUAAAAUGUACUGUCCUAUAUGUUUAGAUGCAGGUCAAGCCUCUUAACAAAUUAGGUUUUUUUGCUGUGUUGUUUAAACUAUUCCAAUUUGUUGUGGCAAUUCAAUUGACACAUCCAGAAAAAAUAUAUCUCUAGCUAUUCGUUAUUUCAUAUUGAAAUGCUUUUAUUUACUAUGUGAGAAAACUAACAUUUCAAUAUUGUCAAAUUUCUUAUAUUAAAUGUCAAGCAUGUGAGUCGUAGCAUUCCAGCCAAAUUCUUAUAUCAUCCCCACUGUCGACCCGACACUCAAUGGUAUAAAUUACACUUGUGUAGUAAAUACCUGUAGAAUUUCAUAAGAGCACAAAUAACAAAUGUGCAUGUGCAUGGCACACACACAUCUUUUUUAAUUGAGCGUGUCUCUAAGGCACUGAUAAGUUCAGGUAAAUGUAGGGUCAGGCCAUACCUUUCGCUUUCGGAUCUGUGUUAUCGUAUUCCGUCUGACUGUCCCUGAAUGAUACACUUGCAUUUUCUUUUGUUAUUAUUCUCAUCUUCUGUGUUUAUGUUUAUUACAUGACACUUUGCAGGAAUAUAAACAUUUUCUAGAGGAAGCUAAGAAACGUGAUCAUAGGAUAUUAGGGAAAGCACAGGAACUCUUCUUUUUCCGUGAACUUAGAAUUGUGCAGCCCUGGAAGCUGCUUCUUCCUUCCACAUGAUCCUUAAACCAAGGAGCAUAUUAAGAAAUUUCUCUCAAUGGGGCAUGUGUCUUAUGAAGUUCUAUUACAUGUUAGAUUUUUAGAUAUAUGGGAACUAGCUGGCUUGCCCACGUUGUGACGACAUGUUAUGCGCUUUCUCCAAUGGCUAUAGGUAUGCACCCUCCUCCCUUUGGAUCAUAUCUAUGGUGUUUCUACCUAUGCAGUGUCUCCCCUUUGAUGUGAAUUUAAUGCCCACUUUAGACCAGCAUGACUAUUGGUUUGAUAAAAGCUUGCAAUCAUCAAGUUUUGAAAUACAUUUUUUGUUUUAGUAGUACUAAUGGAUAAACUAUAAUUUUCAGAAGUAAUGUUUCUUCCUUACAUAUGUUGCUCUGGUCAGUGAUGGCCAGGGACAUACAUGUGUAUUCUUGCUGCAAAAAAAAAACAGGUACGUUUGGAUUUUUGUUGUCCACAAAUAGCAGCAAUUCUAUGCUUUCUUGCUUGAUACAGUGUGGCAGAUGACAGCUUGCUUCUGCUUGUACGGUAAAUGCAAAUAUUUUUUAAAUGAUUGUUUAUUAUCCUCCAAUCAUGAUUUCCUCUAUGUACUGAAAAAGUUGGAGCGGUUGAUGCAAGUUUUGAUUCAAAUAUUCAAAACUACUUGUACGCCAUGCUCCUUAAACUGUUUUGCAAAAUUCAGUUGCAAUAUCUUCCUCAAUUUCAAAUUCAACCAUGUGUCUUGCUGUGUCAGGAUCUGAUUCAGUUCUACUUACUCCAUAUAAAACUGAAUAGAAAUCUACACAUUUUGCAAACAGCAAAAUGCCCCAGUUGUAGGAAUGAGCUGGCCAUAUAGGGUCUGAUUCAGUUGUACUUCUUCUUGAUAAAACUGAAUAGACUAGAGAAUAUCUGAGAACAUGGACUAAUUUGAUUAGCUUGAUGCGUGGGUCAAUGUUUGGUGUCAAACAAUGUAAUCCAUUGCUUUCUGAACCAUAGCAGCAGUGGCCUGAAGUACUAUGUAAUUCAGUUUUAGUGCAGCAACUAUGGAUAAGUACUAUGUGAUUUUGUGAAAUAAAAAAUGAAUAGUAGUUUUGUUUUCUAAAAUGAGCUAAAAGAAAGGACAACAAUUUGUUUGUCUAGGCACCGGUCAACGUUUAAGAUCUAUAGAAAUCAACAAUAUUUCUAACUAUUAAGUGUUAAUUAUCUAAUGUUAUUUCUAACUAUUAAGUGUUAAUUAUCUAAUGUAUUUAAUGAAGUAACACAGUUAGACUUGCCUAAAGAGGCCAGUGAAGCUUCACUUGCUGCAUAGAGAAGUACUUUUUUAUUAUCAUGUAAAUGCAUGGUUCUUUGGAACCAUUUGGCCUAUCUGAUUAAUUAUUACUAUCAGCCAUAUGUGUUUGCAACUGAAUACUUACACUGUUUUUUCUUUUUGAGAGUAGACCACUGGUUCUCUGUAUUUCUGGGUUGCCCAUUUGGCUGGUCCAGUAUGGGUCUGUUGGCAUCUUGGUGCCGCGUUUGGCUGGAGGCCAUCAACCUCAUUGUCGGGAUUGUCACACAGUUACAGAGGUACUCUCUAUUUGUUUAUUACUACUAAUCUAGCCACAUGUUUUAACUAACUGUCUAUAAUAGGCUACAGCCAGUGCAGUGAUCUUUCUCCAUUCUGAAUUUCAUCUAUUCUUUACAGCAAAAGGGAACUCCUAGCUACCCAUUUCCUUACUCUCUGUUCAUAGUUGGGUUUCCUGCAAGAAUCUUCAUCUGCUCUGGUGUGCAUUUUCCAUUUAAUCCUUAAGCCAAAACAAUGGCAACUGAUAACUCUCGAUUUCACUGCUCAUAGAUAAUAAAUCAUACACGUUGUCCAUACAACUCAUAGUAACUCGUAAUGCACCAAAUUAAAUGUUCUAUUUUACCCUGUAAUAUCCUAUUUGAUUAGGUCUUUCAAAAAUUUCAGCUGGAUCCAAAUAAUGCAAACUUAUUGUGCACUUCAGUACUCAGAUGAACUUAAACCAAUCACAUAACUUACUAUGCCUAACUCAUAUUGCCUAUCUCUUUUGCAAUUCCAGGCAUAUGCGGGAUUCCAAGAAUUGCAAAGCAUCAUCCUGCUUUGAGCUAUUCCUCUCUUGGGGCGCCAUGCUCCUGUUCGUUGCCCAGCUUCCAGCUUCAGCUGAUGUUUGGUGCUUGCAUGCAGGUGAUCGGUGGCACCAUCAUUGUUGUGAUGCUCCUGCUGGUGGGACGCAACCGGUGUCGUAGGUGUUCACCCACUUCUAGACAUCGCUCUACAUGAUGGGGUCAGUAGCAAUGCGGUGCCUACGCCGUCAUCAUGUCCUUCCUGGUGAGCCAGUAUUCGCUGUACGUGUACGCGACAACGCAUUGCGCACCUGACGGAGGAGACCAAAGGCGUCGAAAAGAACGACCCCAUCGCCAUCCUCUCCAGCAACGACAUCAUCUCCGUGUUUGGCUGGGCGGACAUCCUGGCCCUCACCUUCAGCAUCCAGGUAAUUUCAAUCUUUUGGAGGAUCAUGCUUUUCUUUUGGAUUUUGUCUUCAACUAUCGUUAUUUCUGCGACAUCAAGAUUGAUACGGGCAACUCCAUUGAUAAGACUGCAUGCUCAAAUAAAGCUUGGACCAUGAAGUGAGAUCGAGCUCAUGGACAAGUAGCGAUCAUCUUUUAUCCAAUCUUAGUGUAUUCCCAAUAGAGCACACGUGAAGAAGAAUAUUUUGUUUGACUAUUGUAAAUGUUUAAGGCAAUGGAAAUUUACAAAUCUUAAAUAGUCAUGGUAUAUGCAUGUUAUUCAAAGGAGACUUCGUUUGAAUUAUAAGACCUUGUGGUAGUUUUUGAAUGUUUGUAUGAGUUUGUAAUUUAUUGUGAUAAUCUUAGCAUUUAAAUGAUGCAGCUGACAUGACAUUUUUAAAA